GGCCGUGUGGCUCAAUGGCAGAGCGUCUGACUACGAUCAAGGAGUAUCUAGCGAUACUAUUGUGUGUAAUCAGAAGGUCGCAGGUUCGACCCCUGUCUCGGUCA
rnacentral:tRNA from 1 species